AACAGGUGAAACUGAUUAAAACCCCACAAGCCCACUGCGUUGGAAACGACAAACUGAACGGACCAGACUGUGGAAGAGAAACCCGGAGGUGAAUUAGAGUAAGUUAGUUGUUCUAUGGCCUCGUACCAAACAUUAGAAAGUUAACAUUUUAAGGACAAGCUUGUUUUUCAGUUAUGGACAAGCUUAUGGCGUCAGAAGCUGUUGGAUAUUACAAAAAAGGACCAGAAAUAUGGACCCGGUCAUCUCUGUGGGAAGAAGAAUUACCUUCAACCAUAAAUCAGCUGAGCGACUCGUUGAGAUGGACGUAAUGAGACAGGUCCAUGCAGGGAGGGAGAUGGAGGCAGUGCCAUGGAGGAGCCGUAAACAAGUGGCACUACGUAUGAUAAAGAGACAAGAAAAGCUCCCCGGGGACAUCGAGAUCAUGACGUGCACAAAAGGAAUGUGAGAGGCCUUUGCUUCGCUGGAACAUUCAUGAAAUUACAAGCUUUUGUUUUGCUUUGGUUCCUUUUCAUCUGGUUGAAGAACAUGCAUUCACACAGCGUCCUUUUUAACACACAGUAGUGGAGAUCCUCGAGUCGCAGGAUGACCUGAAGGCAUGAAAUCUGAAAGAUGGCCUUUGGGACCAACUUUUGUUAUGUUUUUCAGAAGUUCAAAUAAAAUAAAUGAUUAUAAC
ensembl:lncRNA